AACGAACGCUGGCGGCAGGCCUAACACAUGCAAGUCGAACGCACCGCAAGGUGAGUGGCGCACGGGUGAGUAACACGUGGGAAUGUAUCCUUUGGUUCGGAAUAACGUCUGGAAACGGACGCUAAUACCGGAUGAGCCCUUAGGGGGAAAGAUUUAUCGCCGAAGGAGCAGCCCGCGUCUGAUUAGGUAGUUGGUGGGGUAAAGGCCUACCAAGCCGAGGAUCAGUAGCUGGUCUGAGAGGAUGAUCAGCCACACUGGGACUGAGACACGGCCCAGACUCCUGCGGGAGGCGGCAGUGGGGAAUAUUGGACAAUGGGCGCAAGCCUGAUCCAGCCAUGCCGCGUGAGUGAUGAAGGCCUUCGGGUUGUAAAGCUCUUUCGCACACGACGAUGAUGACGGUAGUGUGAGAAGAAGCCCCGGCUAACUUCGUGCCAGCCGCCGCCGUAACAC
rnacentral:rRNA from 1 species